rnacentral:misc_RNA from 1 species
AAGUCGUAACAAGGUAACCGUAGGUGAACCUGCGGUUGGAUCAUUAAAAAAUGUUUGGUCUCGUGCCAAAUCAACAUUUGUGUGCACCAUUGUCUGUCCUUGGUAGUUCGAGUCGCGCUCGGCCGAUCUCAACAAUCGGUGAGCGCCUACCCCUUAGGGGGUUGGGCUACCGCCUUUUUGAACAAACCUUCAUGUUGUUUUCUUUUAUGCCUGAACGAAAAGUUAAUCUUUUUUGAUUAAUGAUUCUUAUACAACUUUUGACAACGGAUCUCUUGGCUCUC